rnacentral:rRNA from 1 species
GACGAACGCUGGCGGCGUGCCUAAUACAUGCAAGUUGAGCGAUGAAGAUUGGUGCUUGCACCAAUUUGAAGAGCAGCGCACGGGUGAGUAACGCGUGGGGAAUCUGCCUUUGAGCGGGGGACAACAUUUGGAAACGAAUGCUAAUACCGCAUAACAACUUUAAACAUAAGUUUUAAGUUUGAAAGAUGCAAUUGCAUCACUCAAAGAUGAUCCCGCGUUGUAUUAGCUAGUUGGUGAGGUAAAGGCUCACCAAGGCGAUGAUACAUAGCCGACCUGAGAGGGUGAUCGGCCACAUUGGGACUGAGACACGGCCCAAACUCCUACGGGAGGCAGCAGUAGGGAAUCUUCGGCAAGAGGCGAAAGUCUGACCGAGCAACGCCGCGUGAGUGAAGAAGGUUGUCGGAUCGUAAAAAUCUGUUGGUAGAGAAGAACGUUGGUGAGAGUGGAAAGCUCAUCAAGUGACGGUAACUACCCAGAAAGGGACGGCUAACUACGUG